rnacentral:rRNA from 1 species
UACGUAGGGGGCAAGCGUUGUUCGGAAUUACUGGGCGUAAAGGGCGCGUAGGCGGCAUGGCAAGUCAGGAGUGAAAGGCCUGGGCUCAACCGAGGAACUGCUUUUGAUACUGCCAAGCUAGAGUGCGGAAGGGGCAACUGGAAUUCCCAGUGUAGCGGUGAAAUGCGUAGAUAUUGGGAAGAACACCUGAGGCGAAGGCGGGUUGCUGGGCCGGA